UACAGAGGGGGCGAGCGUUGUUCGGAAUUACUGGGCGUAAAGGGCGCGUAGGCGGCCCGCUAAGUCGAACGUGAAAUCCCCGGGCUCAACCCGGGAACUGCGUCCGAGACUGAAAGGCUUGAAUCCGGGAGAGGGAUGUGGAAUUCCAGGUGUAGCGGUGAAAUGCGUAGAUAUCUGGAGGAACAUCGGUGGCGAAGGCGGCAUCCUGGACCGGUAUUGACGCUGAGGCGCGAAAGCCAGGGGAGCAAACGGG
rnacentral:rRNA from 1 species